rnacentral:rRNA from 1 species
GACGAACGCUGGCGGCGUGCUUAACACAUGCCAGCCGAACGGAAAGGCCCUGCUUUUGUGGGGUGCUCGAGUGGCGAACGGGUGAGUAACACGUGAGUAACCUGCCCUUGACUUUGGGAUAACUUCAGGAAACUGGGGCUAAUACCGGAUAGGAGCUCCUGCUGCAUGGUGGGGGUUGGAAAGUUUCGGCGGUUGGGGAUGGACUCGCGGCUUAUCAGCUUGUUGGUGGGGUAGUGGCUUACCAAGGCUUUGACGGGUAGCCGGCCUGAGAGGGUGACCGGCCACAUUGGGACUGAGAUACGGCCCAGACUCCUACGGGAGGCAGCAGUGGGGAAUAUUGCACAAUGGGCGGAAGCCUGAUGCAGCAACGCCGCGUGCGGGAUGACGGCCUUCGGGUUGUAAACCGCUUUCGCCUGUGACGAAGCGUGAGUGACGGUAAUGGGUAAAGAAGCACCGGCUAACUACGUG